GCAUGGGUGGUUCAGUGGUAGAAUUCUUGCCUUCCAUGUGGGAGGCCAGAGUUCAAUUCUCAGCCAGUGCA
rfam:Loxodonta africana unplaced genomic scaffold scaffold_18, whole genome shotgun sequence.